rnacentral:rRNA from 1 species
CCGUAGCCCAAGAGAUCGGGAUAACACCUUGAAACAGAUGCUAAUACCGGAUAACAACAGAUGAUGCCUAUCAACUGUUUAAAAGAUGGUUCUGCUAUCACUCUUGGAUGGACCUGCGGUGCAUUAGCUAGUUGGUAGGGUAACGGCCUACCAAGGCGAUGAUGCAUAGCCGAGUUGAGAGACUGAUCGGCCACAUUGGGACUGAGACACGGCCCAAACUCCUACGGGAGGCAGCAGAU